rnacentral:rRNA from 1 species
UACGUAGGGGGCUAGCGUUGUCCGGAAUCAUUGGGCGUAAAGCGCGUGUAGGCGGUCCGGUAAGUCCGCUGUGAAAGUCGGGGGCUCAACCCUCGGAUGCCGGUGGAUACUGUCGGGCUUGAGUACGGAAGAGGCGAGUGGAAUUCCUGGUGUAGCGGUGAAAUGCGCAGAUAUCAGGAGGAACACCGGUGGCGAAGGCGGUGCUCUGGGCCGGAACUGACGCUGAGGAGCGAAAGCGUGGGGAGCAAACAGG